UGGGGAAUAUUGCGCAAUGGGGGCAACCCUGACGCAGCAACGCCGCGUGCGGGACGACGGCCUUCGGGUUGUAAACCGCUUUCAGCAGGGAAGAUAGUGACGGUACCUAACCAGAAAGCCACGGCUAACUACGUGCCAGCAGCCGCGGUAAUACGUAGGUGGCAAGCGUUGUCCGGAAUUAUUGGGCGUAAAGCGCGCGCAGGUGGUUUAGAAAGUCUGAUGUGAAAGCCCACGGCUCAACCGUGGAGGGUCAUUGGAAACUAAUGAACUUGAGUGCAGGAGAGAAAAGUGGAAUUCCUAGUGUAGCGGUGAAAUGCGUAGAGAUUAGGAGGAACACCGGUGGCGAAAGCGGCUUUUUGGCCUGCAACUGACACUGAGGCGCGAAAGCGUGGGGAGCAAACAGG
rnacentral:rRNA from 1 species